rnacentral:rRNA from 1 species
CGGUAGUUCAUAAAUAAGUAAACCUAUUUAUUUUGGCGGCAUUUCAUCUAAAAAGAGGAACUUGUCCCUUAAUCGAUACCCCUCGAUAUAUUUCACUUAUUUUCAUAAUUUAUAUACCGCCAUCUUAAGAAUUAAUCUUAAUAUAUUUCUCUAAAUAAUAAACUAAAAAAUUAGGUCAAGGUGUAAUAAACAUCUAAGAAAAAGAUGAGUUACAAUAAAACUCAUUUAAGGAUAUAAAAUCUAAAAAUUCUAUUAAAAUAGGAUUUUUAAGUAAUUUUAAUAAAUAAUAUUUUAAAAUGAAAAAGAUAAUAAAUGUGC